UGAGGGAGCGCGGGCGGCCUGAGCAGGAGGUGGCGGGCACCGGAGCUGGCAGAGCUGGAGGCUGAGGCCGGGUGGCGAUUCCUAGGAGCAGUUCAUUAGCUCCUCGAGAAAAGAGACUGCCAUGACACUGGACACUUGGGGAAAAAAGAAACAAUAAAAACCACAGAACAAUGAAAUAUCUUCAAUGUGCUGAAAGGAAAUUAAGGAAAUAACAGCAAACUUAGAUUUCUAUACCCAGUGAAAACAUCCUUCAAGAAUGAAAGCGAAAUAAAGACAUUUACAGAUGAUGCUUGAACAAAAACAUCCCUAAGCAAUGUUUCCAAUAUAAUUUUUUUCUUAUGAUGAAGAAAUAUUAAGAAAAAAUAAGUGAAC